rnacentral:rRNA from 1 species
CGCUGGCGGCAGGCUUAACACAUGCAAGUCGAGCGGUAACAUUUCUAGCUUGCUAGAAGAUGACGAGCGGCGGACGGGUGAGUAAUACUUAGGAAUCUACCUAGUAGUGGGGGAUAGCUCGGGGAAACUCGAAUUAAUACCGCAUACGACCUACGGGAGAAAGGGGGCAACUUGUUGCUCUCGCUAUUAGAUGAGCCUAAGUCGGAUUAGCUAGAUGGUGGGGUAAAGGCCUACCAUGGCGACGAUCUGUAGCUGGUCUGAGAGGAUGAUCAGCCACACCGGGACUGAGACACGGCCCGGACUCCUACGGGAGGCAGCAGUGGGGAAUAUUGGACAAUGGGGGAAACCCUGAUCCAGCCAUGCCGCGUGUGUGAAGAAGGCCUUUUGGUUGUAAAGCACUUUAAGCAGUGAAGAAGACUCUUCGGUUAAUACCCGGAGACGAUGACAUUAGCUGCAGAAUAAGCACCGGCUAACUCUGUGCCAGCAGCCGCGGUAAUACAGAGGGUGCAAGCGUUAAUCGGAAUUACUGGGCGUAAAGCGAGCGUAGGUGGCUUGAUAAGUCAGAUGUGAAAUCCCCGGGCUUAACCUGGGAACUGCAUCUGAAACUGUCAGACUAGAGUAGGUGAGAGGGAGGUAGAAUUUCAGGUGUAGCGGUGAAAUGCGUAGAGAUCUGAAGGAAUACCGAUGGCGAAGGCAGCCUCCUGGCAUCAUACUGACACUGAGGCUCGAAAGCGUGGGUAGCAAACAGGAUUAGAUACCCUGGUAGUCCACGCCGUAAACGAUGUCUACUAGUCGUUGGGUCCCUUGAGGACUUAGUGACGCAGCUAACGCAAUAAGUAGACCGCCUGGGGAGUACGGCCGCAAGGUUAAAACUCAAAUGAAUUGACGGGGGCCCGCACAAGCGGUGGAGCAUGUGGUUUAAUUCGAUGCAACGCGAAGAACCUUACCUGGUCUUGACAUAUCUAGAAUCCUGCAGAGAUGCGGGAGUGCCUUCGGGAAUUAGAAUACAGGUGCUGCAUGGCUGUCCUCAGCUCGUGUCGUGAGAUGUUGGGUUAAGUCCCGCAACGAGCGCA